AUACGGAGGAUCCGAGCGUUAUCCGGAUUUAUUGGGUUUAAAGGGUGCGCAGGCGGCCAUUUAAGUCAGCGGUUAAAUCGUGGGGCUCAACCCCAUUCUGCCGUUGAUACUGGGUGGCUUGAUUGCGGUCGAGGUUGGCGGAAUACGUUGUGUAGCGGUGAAAUGCAUAGAUAUGACGAAGAACACCGAUUGCGUAGGCAGCUGACCAGACCGCAAAUGACGCUCAUGCACGAAAGUGCGGGGAUCGAACAGGAUUAGAUACCCUGGUAGUCCGCACAGUAAACGAUGAAUACUUGUUUUCGGCGAUAUAAUGUCGGAGGCAAAGCGAAAGCGAUAAGUAUUCCACCUGGGGAGUACGCCGGCAACGGUGAAACUUAAAGGAAUUGACGGGG
rnacentral:rRNA from 1 species